UACAGAGGUGGCAAGCGUUAUUCGGAAUUACUGGGCGUAAAGGGCGCGUAGGCGGCCUUCUAAGUCAGACGUGAAAUCCCCCGGCUUAACCUGGGAACUGCGUCUGAUACUGAGAGGCUUGAGUAUGGGAGAGGGAUGUAGAAUUCCAGGUGUAGCGGUGAAAUGCGUAGAUAUCUGGAGGUAUACCGGGUUCUCAGGCGGCAUCCUUUACCAUAACUGACGCUGAGGUUUGAAAGCUAGUUGAGCAAACGGG
rnacentral:rRNA from 1 species